rnacentral:rRNA from 1 species
UACGUAGGGUGCAAGCGUUAAUCGGAAUUACUGGGCGUAAAGCGUCCGCAGGUGGCACUUCAAGUCUGUCGUCAAAGACUGGGGCUUAACCCCGGAAAGGCGGUGGAAACUGAAGCGCUAGAGUGCGGUAGGGGUAGAGGGAAUUCCCGGUGUAGCGGUGAAAUGCGUAGAGAUCGGGAAGAACAUCGGUGGCGAAAGCGCUCUACUGGACCGCAACUGACACUCAGGGACGAAAGCUAGGGGAGCGAAUGGG